rnacentral:rRNA from 1 species
AUGAGUGGGCAAUGCCUCCAGAACUCUGGUUGUCCAGCUAGGGCCCCUACAUGGGUCUCUGUAAUGGUUAUACUAAUAGUGGCUCUAAGACUUCAGUAUAUCAUCAAUGGUCAAAGGAUAUGGAAGGAGAUUUGCGAGGCAGCAAGAAAUGCAGGUGGGUCUGACCGUGAUGCAAAUUUAUCACCAUCUAUGAAGCCUGAUGGAAGCACCAGUGAGGAAUUUGGCACAAGAGAAUUGCUAUGGACUCUUGUAGAUGCCUAUGAUAAAACUGACGUUGCACAUGACUAUUCAAAGGACCUUCACUCAUAUCUCACAUACUGCAAACAUGUUUUUUUCCCUGGGACUGCAUGUUUAGUAGAAGAGGAGCACUUGAUAGAGAUCUUUCAGGGUCUGUACAAAGGACGGGAGGGCGAGAAUCCUAAAGCGCACAGUGAUGACAUGCGAACCACAAAUGGAGUGAACAAACGAGGCCGGGAUGGAACUUUUAUCAGUGUAAGGUGCUUUUCUGCAUCAUCAUCAGGGAUACAAAGUAUCAAGUCAGAAAUGGAAGACCAUGGAUUUUGGUACAUGCUGCCAAGGAAGUGGCCACGAUCAGAUGGUUACCUUCACUAUAGAAGGAAGACAAUGACUGGUCGUCUUGUUUGUGCUGAUUAUUACCUGUUGAUACGCUCAUUUGCCAAGCUUGGGGAAGUUGAUAUUAGGGCUAUUCAUGCUUCUGUGCUAAAACUUGAGAGGAGACUUGUCUGGAUAGAAGAAAGAACAGGCAGAAGCUUGGGUGCCUUACAGAAUCUACCUGGCUAA